UGCCCCAUAGAGAGGGCCCUGUGGGGAGGAGGCUAGCCACGCAGACAGCCUGCUGCUAGGUGUGCCGUGGAACCACGGAGCUAAUUGCAGAUCUGGUCACCACCAUGCUGAGCGCCAGGGAGGAGGGAAUGGGGAGACACUAAGCCCACGAGACAGGAACACAGUGCCUGGUGAAACAGAGCCAGCCAGUGCUGAUGCAAGUAUUGACUGAGUUCAUAACCUGAUCUGCCGUGGGAGGGGGAAUAUUUGACAGAACGCAUCAGCCGAGGGUGGUGAGCCAGGCACUGGGAGAGUGAGCAAGACAGGCCAAGCGGGGAUGCCCUCGGCCACGACCACCUUCUCUCAGGGUCUUUCCACCCUGAUGAUCCCGAGGAACCCAACGUGCCCCCUACGGCAAUUCCGUCUGUUUCCAACUCCUCAUUGGCUUCAUGUGGGCUUCCCGGGUUCAUUGCUCAUCUGCGUGGAAUCUGCUGAAGCCACAGCACUGAGCUGAAGCUCACUGGUUCUUGAAUGUCACUAGCUGCUCCUGUCCCUGGGCCAUUCAAUGUCAGUGUCCGCCCUGUGGCUCUUCCUUGCUUUCUAGCUGCCAGUCAGCCACUUCCCGUCUUCCUCUCUUCAGUCCUCUCUCCCUUCCCCAGUGCACCUUAAACCCUUCUGGCUGCACUGAUGGGCUCUCCUUUCUAGCAUUUCUGUCUGAUCUCUGACCCUAACCCUGUCCUGGCCUGGGAGUGCCCUGAGAUCCUGACUGCCCUUCUUGGCUCCCAGGCAGGGCUCAGUCCCGGGAGAUGGGCCUUAGGAGGUGCAGACUCCUGCUGGGCCAACUUAGCAUUUUCCACAGCAGGUAGGCAGGCAGUCACAUGGUCACAUGGCCCAUCCCAAAUCUCUACAUCACAACCCAGAUUUUCUCCAUUAAGGGUAUCGAUUUCCUCAGCUGAACUGCUGGGAUCAAAGGCAGCCUUAGCAACUCGGCAGUUCAUUAAGUCCCAGCUGUCCCAGGGGACUGGCCUGGUGGAUAAACAUGUGAGCAGGUGGCCAUGCUGGGACCUUGAGGGCAGCCUGCUGCCAGGAGUGCUCAGGCUGGACCUGGGCAGGGCAGCAGGAAGGGCAGACCUCAGGCUGCCCUUUUGUCCCCUCCCUCCAAGAACUGGGCUUUGGGGCCCUCCCCAGGGCCCGCAGGAACCAUAUGGGGAUACUGCACCUGCUCCCACCCUGCUCCUGCCAUUUUCCUACCUGCCCUCCCACCAGAUACCUGCCAGGCCUUGUGCUGGGCACUGAAGAUGCAGAGCUUCCUAAGCCUCUAACCCCACCCUCAAGGAGCUCCCACUCCAGUGAGGAAGGCAGACCCCAUACCAUAGCGUUACCAGGCUGCGUACUAACAUCUGAUCGUCAGAACCAUUCCCAACUCAGAGAUUAAGUGUGAUAGGCAGCCUGUUUCAACCAGAGCAUUUCCUCUAGAUUUUUGUUCUUGCUUUUCAAAGUGACUCAUUGGAAAAAUUUUGGGUGAUACAGACCCUGAAGCACAAAGUAGAACAUGAAAUUUACACUAAUCAAGGCUGUUGGUUUUUCCAACUUCCCUUCCCUCUGCCUGAUCUGGAGACUGAGGUAAAGCAGAGCACACCUGGAUGGGGUUGGCCCUGCGUCUCAGGCCAACAGUGUCUGUCCUCCACAGGUGAGGGUAACCUGAGACGGUGCCAGGAGGGAGGAUGCAGCUUUCCUCUUGCCCCCAGCCCCGGAACCUGAACUUUCUCCUCCUGAGCUCCGAUCUGCCUUCACUUCCCAUUUGUUCUCUCUCAUUGCCCCCCAACUCACAUGAAUGUGAGCACUUAGAUGCAAGGACUUUUUAGGGAAAUUAAAGGUGUACAGUACCCCCACUCCUUCCUUCUUUCACUCCCUUAUCCUGAGGACUAAGAGGAAGAGCUGAAGGGGCAACGUUCCAGGGGACUAUUAGAGGCCAGGAGACAAGCGGGCCUGGCAACAAGCCACGGUUGCAGGUGCUGACCGGCCCCCUCAUCCCUCCCCACUGGGUGCCCAGGGUGUGUGAGGUGGAGGUGGCCCUAGAGGUGGAAGAGCUGCCCCCUGAACAUGCAGGGCCUGUGGUUUCACUGAAGACAGCAGGUUAACAUGGAGGAAACAGGAUGAGACAGGGCAGGCUGGCUUGUGGUCUUUUCUGAGUGACCCCUAAACCAGGGACUCAGACAGGUCUGGGGCUGGGGAAGCUGCUGGGUGGGAGCAUUUUCCCCAGUUCCUAUAAUGCAAAGUAACAGUCACUUCUCUUGCUCCAAAGCUUCAUUGCUGGCUGCAGUCAGAGUCUGGGCUCUUGCCCACACUUCGUUCUUCUCCUCCAAUCACAGGGAGGGGUUGGUGGAGUCACUCGCUUGCCCAGUCAUUCCAUCAGCAGAUGUUUGCUGAGUGCUGAUUGGGUGCCAGGCACUGUGCCUGACCCUGGGGACACAAUGCUGAGCAAAACAGACAUGGCCUCUUUCCCCUAGCAGACCUACAUCUGAAGGCAAGCAUCCCAGUUUUCAGCUUGAAACCACCCUGCAGCUCCAGGGAUGGGACAGGCAGGUGGAGAGAGGAGUUUGGGUUGAGACUGUAUAAAGACUCAGACUGAACCCUUACUCUUAAAUUAGGCAGAGAUCUACUACUGCCCCCAAAACACCCUUCCCCAAAGAAGGGCCGCUGGGAAGGGGUGUGGGGAUAGGGAACCAACAUUUGUUUAGUUCUGAAAGUGCUAGGAAUAGGGUAGGCUGAGUGCCUCACAUUUCUUGUCUUAAUCCUCACCAAAACCCUGGGAGGUGAAUAUCAUAAUCCCAAUUUGCAGACCAGGAAGCUGAGGCUCAAUGGAACAAAUUAUCUCAUCAUUAUCGUGGGUAAUGCAUAACCCGGUCUGGCUGCAGGGCCUAUGCCUUUUCCACAACAUCAUUUAUCUCUGGGAAACAUACAAGACCUUCGUUCUGCCCUCUGAGCACUGCAGACAUGUGAAGACCUUGACCCCCUGGGAAAUUGUUCCCACUUUCUGCUUUGAAGAAAAUGAUAGAGGAAGUGCCAGAGUGCACUCUCUUCCCUUUCUAAACGUCGGCCUCUCUUUUCCCUCCUGCAUCUUCCUAGUCCUGGAAAUCCCUGUUGUCCCCGCCUUUGUCCCAGAAAAUCCCAAAAACGCUUCACGUGAGUCUAUUUAAAUCCCCACUCUCAGCACUCAGGACCGGUUCUGGUUUCCUGGUGUGGCCUGGGCCUCCAUCUGGUUUGGAGGCUAUUUUGAUCCACCGGAUGCAGAUUAGCUGCUGCGAUCUGGGGCUGAGCUGCUGGAGAGAUGCCUUUAUCUACAGAAGGACAAUUUGAAAACUAACUCAAAGCAUCGAGAACAAAUAAAUAAAUUCCUCUUUCCGUUCCCAGCACUCUCCAUCCUAUUUCUACAGGUGAGGCGACUCUGAGGCAGGAGGUCCAAGUUUGCUGGACAAUGGCAGAAACAGAAUUCAAACACCUGUCUUCUAGGAGAAGUUCUGGUCUCUCCUCGGUGCUGCGGCUGCCCCGGGAAGAGUUUCCAGGAGCUGACAAGCAUUCAGAUGAGUAAAGAUGGGAUCGGAUUGAGAAAAGGAGAAGGGAGAGCAUAUUCGUUCUCUUUCCACCUCCCUCCCACAGCCUUUCAUGCUGAUCUCAUCUGACGAAGCUGCCUCCUCCUCCCUGGACUCUACAAGCCCCUGUCAUGAUGUUUCUCAGAUCCUGAAUUCCAGCGAAACAGAUGAUACUAACAAGUUUGAAGACCCCCACAGAGGAAUGGAAUCAGUAUGAGAACACAGUUUCUUCAUCUCCCUGUCCCAGAACUUCACCCUGGACUCCUCGACCAAUCAACAAUCUCCACACUUCGGCCCACUCCAAAACUCCUAAAAUCCCAAGCUCCAAACUCCUCUGGGAGAUGGAUUUGAGGCUUCCUCCCGUUUCCUUGUGUGGAAGCCCUGUCAUUAAACCUCUUUCUCUGCUGCAACCUGAUG
rnacentral:lncRNA from 1 species